rnacentral:lncRNA from 10 species
AUCCAUUGCUGGCGAGCUACUGUGAUUUUUGCGGGGUGAUAAGAAACUUGUUUUGUUAUGUUACCAGAUUAUUUUUUCUGGUUCCUUUUCAUUUGGGUAGACUAUGUAAGAAGGAAAAUCUGGGACUUAAUGGCUGCUCUUCAGAUUCUUUUGUUACAUGGGGUGCUCCCUUGAUUUGUUGCUCUCCCCCUUUCUUCAGGUUUCUCAGCCAUGGAUACCAGCACAUGCUUUUUUGGAGUUAGGAGAGAACAAACUGAUGAUGGUUUUUGCAACAUACCUAAUGGGAACCGAAAGAGGAAGACAAGUUUGGGCAAUAUUAGACAAGUCUAUUCCUUGGAAUUAUGUUUCUGUGGCGUUUACUAUUUUAGGAAAAUAUAGUAAUCCAUUGUAGCAAGUGUCAACUGCUGAAUUUAGAAAUGUCCUUAUAAGAAAAUAAGCUAGAAAGCUGCCUAUGAGAGGUUACUUGUGAAGAACUUAUGUCCUACCCUAGUGGCUUAUUCCAUAGAGAAAUGCAUUGGCUUCUUAUUUCAAAAAAUGUGAAGGAAUAUGAGGAGAAGCUUAUGCGCGUAAUCCCAGCACUUUGGGAGGAUGAGGUGAGUGGAUCACUUGAGACCAGGAGUUCCAGUUCAGCCUGGUAAACAUGGCCAAAUCCUGUCUCUACUAAAAUUACAAUAUAUAUAUAUAUGUAUUGCUAGGCCUGGUGUUGCAUGCCUUAAUCCCAGCUACUCUGGAGGCCGAGUCAUGAGAAUCACUUGAACCUGGGAGGCAGAAGUUGCAGUGAGCCGAUAUGACACCACUGCACUCCAGCCUG